GUCCAUACAUUCUCCAAACAUCAGAAUUAUUAGGUAUAAAUGAAGUAAUUCUUCCAAAUAAUUCUAAAACUUUUGGAAGUAAUUUUUGUGCAGGCUUUCCAUCUGAAUCAUUUACAUUGUUUAAUACAGCAUCAUGCACAAUAACGUUUAUAUGCUGUUGCUGCCAAUUUCCAAUCUUCCACUUGUAAAGCAGCAAAUCCAAGUCUAAUCCAAACAUUUUCUUGAAUGUUAUUUAAUUCAACUGAUAAUUUUAAAUGUGGUAUAGCUUCCUCAUACUUAAAAAUAAAAAAUAAUAUAUGUAUUUAAUUAAAUUACUAAGAAAAGGGAAAACUUUUCAAGCUUAUAUUUAUGUACGCACAUUUUGUUUGGCAAAAUAAAAAAAUCCCCAAUGUCUUUGA